GGGGUUAUGGGGUCAGAUAGGCAUAUAUAGGGUCAGAUAUGGGGUAUAUAGGAUCAGAUAGGGGUAUAUAGGGUCAGAUAGGGUAUAUGUGAUCCUAUUAACCCCAUUGUAUCCAGGCUCACCCCGGUGAGAUGGUGGGCGCAUUGGGGUAUAUGGGGUCAGAUUAUGGGGUAUAUGGGGGAUAUGGGGUCAGAUUAUGGGGGUAUGGGGUCAGAUAGGGGUAUAUGGGGGUAUAUAGGGUCAGAUAGGGGUAUAUGUGAUCCUAUUACCCCCAUUAUCCAGGCUCACCCCGGUGAGAUGGUGGGCGCGUUGGGGAGAUAUGGGGUCAGAUUAUGGGGUUAUAGGGUCUCAUUUGGGGGAUAUGGGGUCUGAUUUGGGGUAUAUGGGGUCAGAUAGGGGUAUAUAGGGUCAGAUAGGGGUAUAUAGGGUCAGAUAGGUGACUAUGUGAUCCUAUUAACCCCAUUACCCCCAUUAUCCAGGCUCACCCCGGUGAGAUGGUGGGUGCGUUGGGGUAUAUGGGGUAUAUGGGGUCAGAUUAUGGGGUUAUAGAAUCUGAUUUGGGGUAUAUAGGGUCUCAUUUGGGGUAUAUGGGGUCUGAUUUGGGG
rnacentral:lncRNA from 1 species